GACGGAGGAUGCAAGCGUUAUCCGGAAUUAUUGGGCGUAAAGCGUACGUAGGCGGCUUAUCAAGUCUGGGGUCAAAGACCACAGCUUAACUGUGGAAAGGCCUUGGAAACUGGUGAGCUGGAGUGAGGUAGGGGUUGCGGGAAUUCCCGGUGUAGCGGUGAAAUGCGUAGAUAUCGGGAAGAACACCUGAGGCGAAAGCGCGCGACUGGGCCUUAACUGACGCUGAGGUACGAAAGCUAGGGGAGCGAAUGGG
rnacentral:rRNA from 1 species